GACGUAGGGGACGAGCGUUGUCCGGAUUCAUUGGGCGUAAAGCGCGCGUAGGCGGUUCGGUAAGUCGGGUGUGAAAACACGAGGCUCAACCUCGGUGCGUGCAUCCGAUACUGCCGGACUAGAGGUAGGUAGGGGAGAUCGGAAUUCCUGGUGUAGCGGUGAAAUGCGCAGAUAUCAGGAGGAAUACCCAUAGCGAAGGCAGCUCGCUGGGACGGUACUGACGCUGGAGGCGACGAAGCGUGGGAGCAACAGG
rnacentral:rRNA from 1 species